UCAAAGCGUGAGGGAUAGUAGCGACAUCCAUGCACCCCGAUUGUUAUCGGGGGGAGUGGAUACAGCGGAUAGCCCGACCCCGG
rnacentral:sRNA from 1 species